GCCUGAGAACACAACCGACGGUUCAUAUGAUGUGUGUGAAAUCUGUGCACUAGGCGGUUAAUCUCUGAGAUGUGAAAUGCAGGAUUACUGGAUUUGAUCUGUACGUCCAGCACCGCCUGAGAACUGAGAGACAGAAGACACUGCAAGUCCACGAGCGAGCAGUUGGCCAGCUUUGCAAAGUUCUUCCCCAGCUUCAGAGACUCGUGCCUGAGGAGACGCAUCAGUGUUUGAAGAUUGUCGUUUCUCGGUCAAAUAUUUCAUCCUAACAAACAACACAUCAAUGGAAAGCUUAUUUAUUCAGCUUUCAGAGGAAUGGAGAAGGGUAAACUCUGGAGAACGGCCUGUCUGAAGAGUGGUUUGCUGCUCUGGAUCAUCAGAUGUAGACUGACCGACUGAGCG